GCCAGGCAUGGUGGUGCAUGCCUGUAAUCCCAGCUACUCAGGAGGCUGAGGCAGGAGAAUCGCUUGAACCCAGGAAGCGGAGGUUACAGUGAGCCGAGAUGGCACCACUGUACUCCAGCCUGGAUGACAGAGUGAGACCCUGUCUCAA
rnacentral:SRP_RNA from 1 species